rnacentral:lncRNA from 10 species
AGUACAGAUUUAUUGAAACAAAAGUACACUCCACAGAGUGGGAGUAGGCUCGAGCAAGCAGCAAGAGCCCUGGUUACAGAAUUUUCUGGGGUUUAAAUAUGCUCUAGAGGUUUCCCAUUGGUUACUUGGUUACACCCUAUGUAAAUGAAACCUGCCCCACGACCAGUCAGAUUGGUUGUGGGAGGGGACCAAUCAGAGGUACUUUCCAUUUUUCAUCUGUGAGGCAGUGGAAAGGGGGGGUUGCAAAGGGAGUAGCUUCUGAUCCUUUCCUUACUUGGGCGUGGAGAGGUGGGGUUUUCGUUUUGAUUCAGUUCUAGGAAGGCAAAGCACACUCAGGGGUAGAGGAAGACCCUGGGGGUAAGGAGUACAUGUCAUGCUGAAAAGAAGAAAAUAUUCUCUUGGUAUACAUGUCAGUAUGGGAUAAACUGACACCGCAUGGAUAGACGGACGUGCGGGAAGUACAGAUGCUGGCAUGUCCUGCCUGGGGCCAGCUGAGUGUUCCCUGUCACGGCCUUGCUUACUCUUCCUCUGAGGUUACAGUUCCUAGUGAGCCAUGGAGAAGAGGGUCUUUUACACUGAGCCCUCACUGUUUAUGGCAACUGCCUCGAACAGUCAUUGAUUUCAAGCUUGCCUACAGGCAGAAUGUAUCCCAGAAAGCCAAGGAUUUUGUUAAUGUUUACAGGCCUUUGUAGAUCCCCACAGGAAAGCUGAAAUAGUAAUCCUGAAAAUGACAGUAGGGGUGACCCCUUACCCACUCUGGGGCUCAAACCUAUGGCUCAGGAGGCUUUUGGUGGCUGCCACAGAAUUAAGAAUAAAAUGGGAAAGGUCAAGUUUAAAAGUCAGAAUAUAUUUCA